rnacentral:tRNA from 1 species
GAGGGUAUAGCUCAGUGGUAGAGCGCCUGCUUAGCAAGCACGAAGUCCUAGUUUCAAUCCCUAGCACUUA